rnacentral:lncRNA from 1 species
AAUAAAGUUUUUCAUAUUUAUAAGUUAUUUUUAUUGAUGGGGCUUUCGAAUCGACGAUCCACUCCGUUAAAUAUGAUAUAGAGUAUUUAAAAUUGUUUAAAAAUAAAUUUUGUAAUUUGUCAAAAUCAUAAUAAAUUCUAUCAAACGGGUAUAAAAUGAAUAGUUACUGAUCUUUAAAAAUAGAUGAUCGGAUCCUUCAACUUAAGAUCAGAGUUACUGAUCUUUAUCUAGACACUGAAUAGAAUUUUUUAUUAAAAAUUCAACCGAUUCCUAUUCUUUUACACUGUUAAGCUAGCAAGUAUUUCAUACCGACCGUUAAAAAUUAUUAAUUUUGAGAUCUUUUGAUUGUAAAGUAAAUAAUGUAAAAAAUUUAUAAUAUUUGAUUUUUAGAAAUUUUAAAUACUCUAGAUAAUGUUUAAUGAUAUGAAUCGUUAAUUCGGAAAUUAUAUCAUCGAAAACGUUUUAUAAAUACAAAAACGCUCGUACUUAUAAGAGUAUGGUAGCCGAAUAU